AUGUCAACAUUAUUUGAAAAUAUAUCUUGGAUUGAAUAUAUUGAAAAAAAUGGACUAAAUAUUAUAUAUUUUGCAUAUUCUAUAAUUUUUGGGCCUCUUGCUGCUAUAUUAAUCUAUAUAUUAAAUCAUAGAUUUAUAAAAUACAUUAUUUUACAUAAAGGUGGUAAUAAUGUAUCGAUAAUUACUAAUCAUAUAUUAAAAAAUAAUUAUACUAUGACACUUCCUAUUAAUAAGAUAAAAGUUAAAUUUGCAAGAGAUGAAAUGAUAAGUUAUUUACCUAUGAAAAUUCAAGGCACAAUGUUUUAUUAUAUUAUUGAUAGCAAAGGAAAGUUUUUUAAAUGAAAAAUUAUUUGAUUACACAGUUGGAAAAGCAAAAGAUUGGUAGAAGUAUUGUAUUAUAUAUAUUGUAUAUAUGUUAUAAAUAAAUUAUUAUGAAUUAAAUAUGUAUUAUAU